rnacentral:rRNA from 1 species
GGUGAGUAGGGUAACGGCCUACCAAGGGUAUGUCGGGUAGGGGACGUGAGAGGGUGGCCCCCCACAAUGGAAGUGAAACACGGUCCAUACACCUACGGGUGGCAGCAGUAGGGAAUAUUAGAAAUGGGCGGAAGCGUGAUCUAUCAACACCGCGUGUGCGAUGAAGGCCUUCGGGUUGUAAAGCACUUUUUGGAGGGAAUAGGAAGGAAGGUACCUCCAGAAUAAGUCUCGGCUAAAUACGUGCCAGCAGCCGCGGUAACAUGUAGGAGGCAAACGUUAUCUGGAUUCACUGGGCGUAAAGCGCGUGCAGGUGGUUCCGUAAGUAGGGCGUGAAAGCUCCCGGCUCAACUGGGAGAGGCCGUAUUAAACUGCGGAGCUAGAGGAUGGUAGAGGGAGGUGGAAUUCCAGGUGUAGUGGUGAAAUGCGCAGAUAUUCGGAGGAACACCAGUGGGGAAGGCGGCCUCUUGGACCAUUCCUGACACUCAGACGCGAAAGCUAGGGUAGCAAACGGAAUUAGAGACUCCGGUAGUCCUAGCCCUAAACGAUGCAGAAUAGGCGUCGGCGGUUUAAUCACCGUCGGUGUCCAAGCUAACGC